CACAGGCGCUGCUCCCUGAUCCUACUAACUACAUCCAUUGUACCACCAGAAAAGAAGAGACUCUGGUUUUUGGGAAGUUUCAGCAGCCACAUACUACAAUUGCAAGUACUGAUAUUCCACCUACCCCUCUGUAUAUUAUACAGCACUGCCAAAUAUUGUAGCCAAUGUAAAAGUAACCCAAAGUGGACUGAAGGAGGCCAAG